rnacentral:rRNA from 1 species
CCCUUAGAUGUCCUGGGCCGCACGCGCGCUACAAUGACUCACUCAGAAAGUUUUUCCUGAUCCGGAAGGAUUCGGGUAAUCUUCAUAGCAUGAGUCGUGUUAGGGAGCGAUCUUUGCAAUUAUAGAUCUUGAACGAGGAAUGCCUAGUAAGUGCAGCUCAUCAGGCUGUACUGAUUACGUCCCUGCCCUUUGUACACACCGCCCGUCGCUCCUACCGAUUGAGUGGUCCGGUGAACCUUCUGGAUUAAGCAGCAAUGCUUGAGAAGUUAGGUAAACCUUAUCACUUAGAGGAAGGAGAAGUCGUAACA